AGGUGGACACCAGCUUGAAGGGGACGUGGGGCGUCAGGGAGCAGGUAACCUGCCCGUUGGCAUCUGCGUCUAGGUCGAUCACACUAAUCAGGGCAAUAACUGUCCCCAGUUGUGCGUCCUCUUUUACAGGAACCGAGAGCGUUUUGAUAGUCAACUGUGGAGCAUUGUCAUUUACAUCCACAACUUCCACAAGAAGUGUACAAUGACCAGCCAGGGGUGGGAAGCCUUUAUCGACAGCCUCGACUGGGAUCUUGUGUGCUCUACUUUCUUCAAAAUCCAUAUGUCCUAUCACUGUGAUUGCCCCACUUAAGGGGUCCAUGUGGAACUUGGAUUUUAUAUCUGGAGAAACAUCACUGGAGAAGGAGUAAAUAAUAUCCCCAUUCAAGCCUUCGUCUAAAUCUGAGGCAUUGGGGUGAAUCACCAGCGUUCCGAUAGAAACGUUUUCUGGUAAUUUCACCGUAUACAGGGUUCUGUCGAACACUGGGGCAUUGUCAUUGUUGUCCAGUACCGUGAUGAGUAAUUGAACGGUGCCAGUCAGCUCGGGUUUGCCUCCAUCGGUGGCCGUGAGCAAUAAAUGAAGCUCCGGAGUUUC
ensembl:lncRNA novel transcript, antisense to PCDHA9